UACGGAGGGGGCUAGCGUUGUUCGGAAUUACUGGGCGUAAAGCGCACGUAGGCGGCUUUGCAAGUUAGAGGUGAAAGCCCGGGGCUCAACCCCGGAAUUGCCUUUAAAACUGCAUCGCUAGAGUUGUGGAGAGGUAAGUGGAAUUCCGAGUGUAGAGGUGAAAUUCGUAGAUAUUCGGAAGAACACCAGUGGCGAAGGCGACUUACUGGACACAUAUUGACGCUGAGGUGCGAAAGCGUGGGGAGCAAACAGG
rnacentral:rRNA from 1 species